AGAGUUUGAUCCUGGCUCAGAACGAACGUUAGCGGCGCGCUUAACACAUGCAAGUCGAGCGAGAAAGGGGCAACCCCGGUAAAGCGGCGCACGGGUGAGUAACACGUAGGUAAUCUACCCCCGGGUGGUGGAUAACCUUCCGAAAGGAAGGCUAAUACAGCAUGGGACCACGGCUUCGAAAGGAGCUGGGGUGAAAGUCGGCCUCUUCACGAAAGCCGACGCCCAGGGAUGAGCCUGCGGCCCAUCAGCUAGUUGGUAGGGUAAUGGCCUACCAAGGCGAAGACGGGUAGCUGGUCCGAGAGGAUGAUCAGCCACACUGGAACUGAGACACGGCCAGACUCCUACGGGAGGCAGCAGUGGGGAAUCUUGCGCAAUGGGCGAAAGCCUGACGCAGCGACGCCGCGUGAGUGAUGAAGGCCUUCGGGUUGUAAAGCUCUGUGGAGGGGGACGAAUAAGCCGUCGGUCAAUAUCCGGCGUGAUGACGGUACCCCUUUAGCAAGCACCGGCUAACUCUGUGCCAGCAGCCGCGGUA
rnacentral:rRNA from 1 species